UGGGGAAUAUUGCACAAUGGGCGAAAGCCUGAUGCAGCAACGCCGCGUGAGUGAUGAAGGUCUUCGGAUUGUAAAGCUCUGUCUUUUGGGACGACAAUGACGGUACCAAAGGAGGAAGCCACGGCUAACUACGUGCCAGCAGCCGCGGUAAUGCGUAGGUGGCGAGCGUUGUCCGGAUUUACUGGGCGUAAAGGGUGCGUAGGCGGAUGUUUAAGUGAGAUGUGAAAUACCCGGGCUUAACUUGGGUGCUGCAUUUCAAACUGGAUAUCUAGAGUGCAGGAGAGGAGAAUGGAAUUCCUAGUGUAGCGGUGAAAUGCGUAGAGAUUAGGAAGAACACCAGUGGCGAAGGCGAUUCUCUGGACUGUAACUGACGCUGAGGCACGAAAGCGUGGGUAGCAAACAGGAUUAGAUACCCUGGUAGUCCACGCCGUAAACGAUGAGUACUAGGUGUAGGAGGUAUCGACCCCUUCUGUGCCGCAGUAAACACAUUAAGUACUCCGCCUGGGAAGUACGAUCGCAAGAUU
rnacentral:rRNA from 1 species